rnacentral:rRNA from 1 species
AGGUGCUGCAUGGUUGUCGUCAGCUCGUGGCCGUGAGGUGUCGGGUUAAGUCCCAAUAACGAGCGCAACCCCUACCUUUAGUUGCCAUCAGGUUAAGCUGGGGACUCUAAAGGAACUGCCUACGCAAGUAGUGAGGAAGGCGGGGAUGACGUCAAAUCAGCACGGCCCUUACGUCCAGGGCUACACACGUGCUACAAUGGCCGAUACAGAGGGCAGCUACCUGGUGACAGGAUGCAAAUCUCCAAAGUCGGUCUCAGUUCGGAUCGGAGUCUGCAACCCGACUCCGUGAAGUUGGAUUCGCUAGUAAUCGCGCAUCAGCCAUGGCGCGGUGAAUACGUUCCCGGGCCUU